rnacentral:lncRNA from 1 species
GAACACUUAAGGAAAAGGCCAAGAGCAACCUCCAGCUGUCUGCCUCCUGUCUGUUCAGAAGCUUUUGGUGAUGAAGGUAGAGGCCAUGAGAAGGAAACUGCUGCAUAUAUUCACCAGCACUGGCCGACAAUAUGCAGGGGAGAGGAGGGUGUGCUUCCUUCUGCAAACACCUCCUGAGAAAGGCCCGAGGAGUUUGAAGCCUGGAGAGAGAGGGAGCUGGUGAUGUCACGAGCCUGAAAGACUCAAGUGAAAGAUAACAGGAGCCAUCUGCCUGACUGUGAGC